GUCAGGAUGGCCAAGCGGUCUAAGGCACUGUGUUCAGGUCGCAAUUUCUUCUGGAGGUGUGGGUUCGAAUCCCACUUUUGACA